UUACUGCGCAGCAAACUAGGGUGUGAAUUUACAGCACGCUAGCUGCUCUGCACUAACU
rnacentral:pre_miRNA from 1 species